rnacentral:lncRNA from 1 species
CGCUCUUCCUUUCCUGGAUGGCACCAGCAGGGCCGAUUGGAGUGGUAAACCCUGGGCCGGAAGGCAUGCCAAAGGGUGGACAGGAUGGACAGGAGACAGUAGCACAACGAGGAGGGGGAGAACAGCGGCUGAAUUGGAAAUGAUAAAAUAAAAUGAAAUUUUAGGAGCUCGCUGUGAGUAUGAGCUGGGAAAAAAUAAUCAUUGCAAGCUGAUUUAUUAUGUACUUAUCUUCUGUUUGAGAGGCAGCAGGCUUUUGUACAGUGGAUUAUUGCAGAGUAAAUGGCACAUUAAAGAUAUAAUCAAGAUGUUUAAGGCAUAUUGAAAUGACAUUAGAAUCAAGUAGGUGAGACUUUUGUCAUGGUCUAGAAAUAUAAAAAUGUCAGUGACUUGGAGAUAUUUCCAGUGCUUUAGUAAAGAUGUGGCUCCAUUUUCAAAAGGGACAUAUUUUUAACCUUUUGUUAUUUUCAGGGUGGGGGGGGAUAGAGUGGGGUCAGGAAGUGGUUUAGAAUCUCUAUGGAUGAUAAAAUAAUAUGCUUUAAACCUGGAGUUGUAGACUGUGGUCUCUAUUUAGCAAGUCAUAAACUUUCUUGCAGUGACAAUAGCAUGAAAAUAUUGGACAGUAAAUAUGGUGCUCUUAGGAGGUUUCAGGGUUGGAAGACUAUGGCUAUUACUUUUUGUUUAUUGUGUUCCUAUUCUCAAUUUCAAUCUUGUCUUUGGAUAGUAAGAAUUUUUUUUAAAUUUUCUAUUUUUUUAAAAAGAAUCUUUUACAUACUGAACCUGACUUGUAUACUAAUUGGCAAACAGUGUCACUUUUCUUUCUUGAUGCCUCAAUGGGUUUAAUUAUUGUAUUACGGUAUUUUCUUGUCAUUUGAGACCUUCACAUUCAGUGUCCUUUCUUUCUUUUUUUUCUUUUUCUUUUUGAGAUGGAGUCUUGCUCCCGGCCUGUCGCCCGGGCUGGAGGGCAGUGGUAAGAUCUCGGCUCACUGCAACCUCCGCCUCCUGGGUCCAAGCAAUUCUUGUGCCUCAGCCUCGAGAGUAGCUGGGAUUACAGAUGCGCGCCACAAUGCCUGGCUAAUUUUUGUAUUUUUAGUAGAGACAGGGUUUCGCCACGUUGGCCAGGCUGGUCUUGAACUCCUGACCUCAGGUGAUCCGCCCGCUUCGGCCUCCCAAAGUGCAGUGUCCUUUAUUUUAUUUGUGUGCCCUGGUUCUGCUUUGAUUUUGCCCCAAACCCUUCUGAGUGUAGCGCUUUACUGACACUUUAUCCCCGUUAUUAACAAUGGGUUUUUGGACAGAACUGGCUUCUCUUUAUUUGUUGUUUUUAAAAUCAUACUGCUGUCCUUAUGCAUGGUACUCCUUGGAACAGAUAAGCAGCCAUACAAGAAGCUCUUUGAGAGAGAGAAGGUGGACUCUGGGGGUCGUGCCGGUUGUUUGGAGUUGUUGGACUGUUAGCUUGUGGAGUGGGUGAUGUUUCAUCUUCAGGAUUCUGUGAGGCCAGGCCUGGGAUGCGGGGAGGAGCUGACUGGAUGGCUCCUGGUGAUGCAUUCCUGGGCCCUCUUCUCAUCUCUGAAUUCCUAGAGUCCCACUUUCUCCAAAGGCCCUGCGGGAAUCAGACGCAUGCACUUCUUCAGUUCUGUGUAGUUUUAGGUUCUCAGUGGAGGCCUUUGGGCUCAACUUGUAGUAAAUAUUUGUUUUCUGUGGCUGUCAGCAAUCUAUAGUCUUGGGUGUGGUCCCUAAAAGCCAGCUUUUGGGCAAUUUUUGAACUGCAAUGGGGAUUCCUCCUUCUGGUUGUUCUACAAUCUGGCAAACAUUUCUUAUUUUGUUCUGGGCUUUAGUCUUAUUUAAUAACAAGAGAAAAUCUUCUAUUUUUAACAAUAACAUGAAUUAUUUUUAUGACUUACACUUUGUAAAGCAUUUUUGUCAUUUCAUGUAAUUCUUUCAUAAAAUUUGUAAGGUUGGUAGAAACAGUAGAAUUAGCACAUAAUGGGAACUUAUUAAAUAUUUGUUAAAUGAAUGAAUUAAAUCCAUUUGACUGCUAAGGAAAUUGAAACUCAAAGAGAUCAAGUGAUUGAUUUAAGGCUCCACUUUCCAGUAGGGACUCACAUCUGAUUUUUCCCAUUCCAGACUGACUCUGAUAUAAUAUCUUACAUACUAUUUGUUACUCUUUCUCCAAGAUCUUAGAAAGGUCUUUUGAUUCUCUAAGAAAAGAUAAUAGGACAAUGCAAAUGCAUGGAUACACCAUCAAAGGGGUGGCUGAGGGCUGUCUACCUCUUUGUAUAGUUCUUUCCUAGGUUCCUGACUCCGCUAAAAACUCAUAUCCUUAAAGAUAUGACUAUUUAGAUACAUUCCUUGUUGGAGAUAAGAACACAAGUUCAUUGCUGAAUCAUGGUGUAUAUAUACAAAAAAAAGAGUGCACAAGUUCAUGCUGAGAAAAAUGACUAUCUUGAAUUUUUAAUAUUUUUUGGAAGUUUGAGCAUAAAACUCUGCACAUCUCAGGGGAAGUUAAUUUCAGAGUUUUGGAUGCGGAGCUGAGUAUUUUCUCUAGCUUUGUCUCUUGGGGUACUGGAGGGAGUCAUGCACUGCCUCCAUUUUGGGGUAAUCUUGGUGUGUAGCAAUCAGCACUCAUCUGGCCUACAGUCGUCAUUAUCAGCUGCCCCCACUGCUGGAGGAAAUGUCACCCAUAUCAGUUCAGACAUUAAAAUAGUAAGAAAAGAGCCAGUUGUUCUAGCCAAACCCAGAAUUAGGCUUAAGGUCGCCACUAUGUACCAAUAACAUCCAUCAGCUCGCCAGAGACUUCCUUCAACCGGGGACACCAGGAACAGAGAGAAGGAAGAAAAAUUUCCCUGUUAAAUCUAAAGCAAAUUAGAGAGGGAUGCCAAAUGGGUGUUCCCCACAAGGGCCUUUCCCUUUGACUUCUGUAACUCGAGAUUCAAAGUUUUGGCUCUGGAUUAUCUCCCAGAAGAAAGCUGCAAAAACAACUGUGGUUACUUCUUUACUAAACUGAUCCUCUUUGCUGCUCCAGUGUGCAAUUAUAUUGCCACACAGAUAGUCUCAAACCUGUCAGUCUUUUUUGCAAUUGUUUUUGUGUCUCAUUGAGAAAGGACUUCCUCAAGUGAAGAUUGUAAAGAUUUAUUUUUAUAUUUAUCUUUGAAACUUCUAUAGUUUUUAUUGCCAUCACAUUGUUCAUUUGCAUUUAGUUCUGUCAUCCAUCUGAAGUAUAUUUUUGUGUAUGAUAUAAGACAGAUCUGAUGUUAAUGUUUUCCUCUUUAGGUACUAGUUUUUCCUCUACUUUUUUUAAAAACUAAAAUUUUAGCAUUAGGAUCGUUUUAGACUUAUAGAAGCAUUGCAUAGACAGCACAGAGAGUUCUCGUACACUCCGCUCUUCUGCUUUUUGAUUUCUUCCUCUGCUUUGAAAGGACAUUUUUACCUGGUCCUAAAUUACAGCAUGUACACAGAUAUCUUUCUAGAAUCUCAUUUUUAUUCUAUUGGUGAUUUGCUAUUUCUGCUCCAAUGUCACAUGUUUAAUUAUUAUUUCUAGAGAUUUCAUAGCUUUUGCUAGGAAACCUGAGAUCUCACAGGGCUUUUAAGAAGUCAAAUUCAGCCUUCAGGCAAGUGAAAUAAUAUCAACCCUGUAAGUUGUUGCUGCUGAGGUAACCUGCCAGGAAGUAACACAGCUGCUACACAGGGAAGGGAGAUGAUCACUGGUCACCCGCCCUUUUCUCUGGGCACAAGUCUUGGACACAAUAGCAAGGACCAGGCUUUGGAGCAGAGUUUCUUCACCUUAGCGCUAGUAACAUUUUAGGACUGAAAGUUCUUUACUAUUGGGGGGUGCUGACCUGUGCAUUGUAAGGUGUUUAUCUGCAUCUCUGGCCUCAACCCACUAGAUGCCCCCCAACUCAUGACACCUUGAAAUGACAACCAACUCAUGGCAAUCAAAAAUAUUUUCGGACACUGCAAAUAUUCCUAGGAAGGUUAAGCCUCCCCUUCCACUCCCCCUGCCCCUCCAGUUGAGAACCACUGCUCUGGAGCCAGCCUGAGUGUUAAUCUUGGCUCUACUGUUUAGUAACUGUGUGCCUUCACUUUGUCAAUGAAAAACAGCCAAAUUCUGUAAAGUAUUUGAAGACAUUUAUUCUGAGCCAAAUUUGAGUGACCAUGGCCCAUGACACAGCCCUCAGGAGGUCCUGAGAACAUGGGCCCAAGGUGGCCCAGGUGCAUAUUGAUUUCAUACAUUUUAGAGAGGCAUGAGACAUCAAUCAAAUACAUUUAAAAAAUACAUUAGUUUGGUCCAGAAAGGUGGGAUAACUCAGAGCAGGGGCUUCCAGGCUAUAGGUAAAUGUAAACAUUUUCUGGUUGACGGUUGAGUUUGUCUAAAGACCUGCGAUCAACAGAAAGUAAUGGCUGGGUUAAGAUGAAGGAUUGUGGAACCCAAGUUCUUAUUUGCAGAGGAAGCCUUUAAGUACUAGGCUUUACAGAGAAUAGGUUGUAAAAUUUUCUCUUUUCUCCUCUCCCUCUCCCUCUCCCUCUUCCCCUCCCCCUCGCCCUCCCUCUCCCUCUCCCUCUCCUCUCUUUAAGACAGAGUCUCGCUCUGCUGCCCAGGCUGGAAUGCAGUGGCACAACCUCGGCUCACUGCAACCUCCACCUCCCAGGUUUAAGCAAUUCUCCUGCCUCAGCCUCCCGAGUAGCUGGGACACCACCGAGUAGCUGGCGGGCACCACCAUGCAUGGCUCAUUAUUGUAUUUUUAGUAGAGACAGAGUUUCACCAUGUUGGCCAGGCUGGUCUCGAAAUCCUGACCUUAGAUGAUCUGCCCACCUCAGCCUCCAAAAGUGCUGGGAUUACAGGCAUGAGCCAUGGUGUCUGGCCCAUAAGAUAUUUCUUAUCAGACUUAUAGUCAGUGUUGAUGUUAAUGCCGGAGAGGUAUAAUGAGGCAUGUUCGAACCCCACUUCCCAUCAUGGCCCGAAAUAAUCUCUCAGGUUACAUUUUAAAAGAGCCUUAGCUGAGGAGGAAGUCCAUUCAGAUGGUUGGGGUGGGGGGUGCUUCAAAUUUUGUUUUUGGUUUACAAUUUCCUCCUGUGUAAAAUGCUAACGAUAAUAUUGCCUAUCUCCUGGCAUGGUCACAAAGGCCAAAUGAGCUAAUUAAUCACAGGAAAUGCUCAGAACAGACUCUGGUAGGAAAGACCUGAGCUCAAUGUUAACCAUUACAUUAUUAAAAAAAAUCCUUUACAUUUGGUCUCACUCCUGAUUAUCCCAUAGACUUCCCGUUUUUCCUACACCUCCAUAUCUUCUCCGCCGUGGAGCAAAAUGUUUAAAUCACAACAAUAUGCACCAAAACAUUACAAGUCUAUGUUAAUGAAAUGGAACUCUAUUUUCAGGGCCCUGUAACUGCUAAUUAAUCAACUCCCAUGAUAAAGUCAUCUGAGCUGUGUGUGAAUUUUAUUUGCAGCUGCAGAACAGCAAUUCGUUAGUUAACAGGCCUUUAAUUGACAAUCCAGCUCUUUGGAGCAGGAGAAAGGCCCAGAAAUGAUUUUCUGAGCAAGAUGGUAAUGACAGUGGGGAAGAUAAAAAUCUGGAUAAGGAGAAGACUGAGGAUUUACUUGACUCAUUAACUUGAUGGCUUUGGGAAUGCCGUGUUCAUUUACCGUUAAAACACACCAUCAUCUUGCAAUUCAAAGGGGGAUGAAUGAAGACUCGUCUUCUAGCAAUUCAUGUUACUUAGUCACCCAGAAAUUUUUUUUUAUUUUGCUUUUUGUAGCAGCAGAUAUUGUAAAACCAUUACGUUUGUUAUUAACCUUGCCUGAGAGCCUUUCUCCCGGGGAUGAUUAUUGCUAUGCGUUAAGAGCUGGUUGAGGAUGGCAGGUGUGGGUUGUCUCUGCCUUUGUCCUAAAGGCUCAAUUCCUUCUUCUAGUGAAACCAGGACUUGGUUUGAUGAAGAGAAGGAAGUGCCUUGGACUGAGCAUUGGGGACUGUAGUCAGGCUCAUUGGUUUGAUGGCCUUGGUGAUGCUCACUUAAUGCACUUAGUCAAUACAGCAGAGUGGUUGGAAGCCUGGGUUCUGGAGGCAGCAUGAUUAAGUUGAAAACCUAGUUUCUUAACUUGCCAGCUGUGUGGCCUUUCUGAACCUUCAGAAAGGCUGCUGAAUCUUCAGAAAGGCCUUUCUGAACCUUCAGAAAGGCUGCUGAAUCUUCAGAAAGGCCUUUCUGAACCUUCAGAAAGGCUGCUGAAUCUUCAGAAAGGCCUUUCUGAACCUUCAGAAAGGCUGCUGAACCUUUCUGAGCCUAAUUUUUUUCAUUUAUAAAAUGAUGUUGAUCAUAGUACCUACCUCACAGUUUUGUUAGGAAUUUUUAGUGAAAGAAUUCAUUUAGCCUCACUCCUAAUAAGCAUUUAAUACAUCUUAACUACAAAGAUAACUGUUAUUAUUCAUUUGCGAGCUUUCCAUGAGCCAGGCAUUGUAAGGAUAGGGCACACAUUCAGGUCAAAUAAGACAUUUUGGGCUUCCGAAGAGUUUAUUCCCUGGAGAUUGGAAGGAGAGAAUUGUUUCCACAGAGGUAAGCAUCUAAGGCUGUGGACGUGGGGAGGGAACUGGAGAAGCUCUUUGGGAGGUGGUGACCUUUAUGGAGGGACUUGUGCCCAGAGACUGGUACCUGAGUAACUACAAAGGGAAUGGACCCCAGAUAUAGGCAGAGCCCAUACAUAUAGAGACAGAAAGUCAAGACCAUAGAAACAGGGGUGAAACUUAGAAUAUUCUCCCCAUCCCCAAAUAGAAAACAGUUAAAUGUAUAGGCUGGAAGACCAGAGAGAAAUGUAUUGCCUGUUUCUGCUUAGUGAAUCUAGCCAUCAGUUUCUGCGACUUUAAGCAUGUUUUAUGCCAGGCGUCUGAUUCCCAGCUGACUGGGCCCCAGAGCCUAGAGGUGCCCAGGACAAGGUGUAUGGGUUGCAAUUAUUUGUUUGGCUGUUUGUGUUUAGUAACGUUUCUUUUCACCUUGCAGGAAGUCACCUCAUGGUUAUAAGGGGAAUUUUUUUUACAGAAAGGGCUAGCAAAGUUCAGUACUGGAGGAUCACCUUACAGCUUCUUCUUGGUAAACAUUUGUUGGCCCAAAAAUGUUUCCAUGCUAGCUCCAGCUUUCCUCCUAAGGCGGUGCGGAGAUCUAAAUGAGAUAAUUAUGCAGACUAUUUGAAAAUUUUUUUAAAAAAUAAAGUGCUACGUUAGGUACUACCUAAUUUUUUUUUAUAGCUAGCAUAUAAAGGAAUUUGGAUGUAUCUCCUUUACACCUUUUGAGAAUGAACUGAAAGACCAGGAUUAAUUUAGCUUUGAAAGGAUAUCGAAUUUAUAAAGUUAUACUAGGUAAGUCUCUCUUAAAAGCCACGCAUAUUGAAAACCCAUUCCUUUAUUCUAACUCUGUAUAGCAAGAGCAAAGUGCCACAGUAGUAUUUUUUGGGGUGAGAGCUGGCAAAGUAUAUUUAUAACAACUUUUGGGUUCCUUUAUAAAUUUCUCUCAUAUGGUGGGAAAAAUACAUAAAAGGAAAGGGGGUGGAUUCUUAAAAAUGGAAGCAAAUAGUUUCUCUGUCACAAUGCACUAUGACCAAAUGAGGUAUGGGAUUUCUUUUCAUAGGACAAGUUAUACAUUUGCCCAACAUAGUUACACAAUAGGACUCUGUCUUAAAAGAGAAUUCAGUUUUUUAUUGAUCUAAUGCAACUACAGUUUUCCUGGGCUGUGCGCUGGGGAAAUGAUAAUAAUGGAUGGAGCAGUCAUGCUGACAAAUGUAAAUGGUCAGUGGUUAAAAGACCUUCAUAUUGCUCUUUUGUUUCCGUGUUUUCUGACUGCAAAUCUCAUGAAGUUGACAAAAUGGCUCAUAGUGCAAAGUACGUCCUGGUAAAUAGGAGGCAAUUACUUUGCUGUGUUGCUCUGUUCUGUUCCCCAUUCUGGCUGGGGAAUGGCUCCGACUGUGCAGUUUAAGUUUAUUUUGGCCUGGCUGCUUUGGCGGCACAGGAACAAACUAGUGCCUCACUGGAGAUAUAGAUUCCGAAGAACUGGAGGUUUGAGGGUCUGGGUGACCAGGGACAGGUGGGGGCUGGGGGCAGCAAGGGGACCAAUGGCUUACUAUUCAGAUCGUCACCACCCUGAUGUCCAGCUUUCCAUGCAAUGCAGUGACUGGGAGCUUGUGGGAGGUCAUCUGAAAGAUACUGUGGUCUUCCGAAACAGAAUAUGUCAGUCAGGCAGAGGAUGGGAAGAUGACUGAGGACGGGAGGGGAACUUUCAGAGGGCAGAGAGAAGGAGUGGUUAAUCAUAAUAAAAACAUAGAAUUUGUUAUUAUAAAAUAAUUACUCAAGAAGUGUUUUCUAAUUGUCUACCAUGUACCAUGCACUGCUGUUGUGGGACGGGGUAAAAAGAGGCGGAAAAUGUGAUAUCUACCUUUGAGAAUUUCACAGUCUCACAGGACUUGCACCUAUGGGUGCAAGACCCUGCAGGAUCACAUGUUAAAUUGCGUGAUUGGAUGACAGAUGUGUGGGAUGAUUUUUUACCCUCCUCCCAGCUGUUUUCCACACCCAACCAAAAUAUCUAAAAAAUACAGCCUGGAUCACAUUCCUUCUGUGUUUCCUCUGUCUUUAGUUAAGGUCAACUCCAUAUUUCUCAGCAAGGCCAACAUGAAUCGGCUCUUGCCUUUCUGGACCUUCCUCUCCUCAUGCCAUCCCUAGUCUCGUUAUUGACCUCAGUAGAGGAGUCUCUCUCCGUCCUCACAAGUGUGCCUGGUCACAUCCUAUUUGUGACCAUUUGGACAUUCUGUUCCCUGUGCCUGGAACUCCCUUUUACCUGGUCUUUGCCAGACCAUGCUCUACUUAUUCUUCAGGGUUUCUCCUUAAAUGUCAUUUCUUUCCAACUACCAGGUGCUUCAUAGAAUCUUGAGCUUUUCCACUGGUCGCAUUUAUCACAUUUGGGCUCACUUAUCUGUGUGAUUAUCAGUGAGAUUUCAGUCUCUCCUGUUUUGUGAUCUCCAUGGACCAUGCUGGUCUUGUCUGUGCUGCAACCCCAGGAUCUAGCACAGGCCCGACACAUGCAGCAGGUGCUCUGUAAGUCAGUGAUGGGUGAAUGGAUGAGCAAGGAGAGGUUCCACUGGGUCAGUGCAGUUGUCCUUUCGAAGCACUUUGUUGCUCCUCCUGGAGCCCUUGGUGUGUUGAACUUAGCAUCCUGUUUGUCUACCCUCACAUCCUCAUGAGCUUCCAGAGGGCAGGGAUUGAAUCAUCAUCAUCUUUUCAUCUGGUUCACAUAGGAACUCAGUGCAGGUUGUAGGAUGAAGGAAAGAAUAAACUGUGUACGAAUGGAGCGGGCCUUAUCUGGGUUUUAAAGCUUGCCUGGGGAGGAAGGUGGAGAAAAAGUGAAUUCAAGGAUCCAAAAUAGCAGUGGGAGCCAGGAUGCAAAACAAGAGUAGGGUUUUGUUUUGUUUUAAAGCUGAAAAUCUGCAUUAGAAAAAUACCGGAUAGUCACCAGACACAGCAUGACAGGAUGUACUCAUGCUACAAAGAUGGGAGGGUUGAGUGGGGGGAGGCUUGGAAUUUCCCCAGCUGAACUUUAUACCUUGAACAAUGUCCAUCUUUCAGAGCUUGCUGCUCUCCUCAGGAGUUUUAUCCAUUCAACACAUUUUUAUCAAGCACCUAUUCCAUGGGGAAGAUAUGCCUCCCCUCAAAGAGCACGAAAAUUGGCCCUUAGGAGGUGAAAAAAAACUCUAUGUGUAAAGCACAAAUAUACAUACAGUAUAUAUAGACAUAUAAUAUAUCUGUAGUGUUAACAUUUCAUAGUGGGGGGAUUAGAAAAAAAAAAGUCUGAAAAGGUUCCUUAGAAGGAUGAUAAUGAAAAAAAGAUUGAGAAACUGACCUACUCUGUGCCAGGCAUUCUUCUGGUUAAAGGGCCUACUCCCAUGAAGCUUUCACUCUUACCAGGCAGAAAGACAGUAAACAAAUAAGUAACUGUAAACUAAUAAUAAAUUGUAUGAGGCAGAAAAGCAGGCAAGGGGCUGGAACGUUUGGGGGAUGGGUGGGGCAUGUCUGUGUUUCCUUUAGGUAGAGUGGGUGAGGGAUGGACUCUGAUGAGGUGAGGUUUGAGAAGAGUCUGGAAGAAGUGACAGGUGAACAGUAGAAAUAUUUUGGGAAAGAGCAUUCCAGGAAAAGGUAACAGCUUGGUGCAAUUAAGAACAGCAAGGAGGCCAGGUGGGCAGGAGUGGAUGGAUGAGGGAAGGAUGGUAGAAAAUGCGAUUGGAGGUAGAGGCAGGGGCCAGAUGACAUGGGCCUUGUAGGCCAUGCUGAGGGGUUUGGGUUUUGUUCUCUGUGUGAUGUAAAGUUGCUGGAGAGCUUUAUGCAGGGGAGUGACAUGAUUUGAUUUAUCUCUCCUUUUUUUUUUUUGAGACAGAGUCUUGCUCUGUCUCCCAGGCUGGAGUGCAAUGGCAUGAUCUCGGCUCACUGCAACCUCCGCCUCCCAGGAUCAAGCAAUUCUUCCUGCCUCAGCCUCCCGAGUAGCUGGGAUUAUAGGCACCCUCCAUCAUGCCCAGCUAAUUUUUGUAUUUUUGUAGAGACAGGGUUUCACCAUGUUGGCCAGGCUGGUCUUGAACUCCUGACUUCAGAUGAUCUGCCUGACUGGGUUUCCCAGAGUGCUGGGAUUACAGGCGUGAGCCACUGUGCCUGGCCUCUUUUUUUUUUUUUUAAAUACUUUAAGUUCUGGGAUACACGUACAGAUGGUGCAGGUUUGUUACAUAGGUAUGCAUGUGCCAUGGUGGUUUGCUGCACCCAGUAAUCUGUCGUCUAGGUUUUAAGCCCCACAUGCAUGAGGUAUUUGUCCUAAUGCUCUCCCUCCCCUUCCCCCCACCCUCUGACAGGCCCCAGUAUGUGAUGUUCCCCUCCCUGUGUCCAUGUGUUCUCAUUGUUCAACUCCUACUUCUGAGUUAUCUUUUAAUAAGAUCCCUCUGACUGCUAUUUGGAGGGUGGACUGCAGAGGCAGGAGUGGAAUCAGGAGACCUCACUGUUGCAGAUCUCCUAGGUGGGAGCUGAUGGUGGCUUGGGUGAGGGUAAACAGUUAGAUUCUACGUGUACUGUGAAGGCAGAGCUUGCAGGACCUACAGAGGGAUCGAAUGAAAGUUCUCCUUUCUACCAGCUGCUGGCCUCUCUUGUGAAGGCCAGGCUGAGUACAUGUUUAUCUAGCAUUCUGCAGUUACUUAUUUUUCAUCUGUAUACCUUGCCACCUUAUCUAGUCUUUGAAUUCCUUUAGGGAAGAAACCAUUUUUGUUUAUGUCUCCAAGAGCCAGACAGUGGGGCCGAAUGGUCAAAAGUGUUAGUUGUAUGUGCUAGGUGGAUGUUUUAACUGCUUAGCUACUGCUCUUCCUCCUCCUUCUCUUCUUUUUGCUUCUCCUCAUCUUUUUUAAUCGAGUGAGGAUGGCAAUGGCAUUUCUUUAUGGCUUUUGAGAGUGAAGUGAGAUUUGUGUGAAAGUGCCUUGUUGGCUGGUUGUGGUGUCUCACGCCUGUAAUACCAGCACUUUGGGAGGCCGAGGUGGGUGGAUUGCUUGAAUCCAGGAAUUUGAGACCAGCCUGGGCAACAGAGCAAAACCACCUAAGUUGGAGCACUUUUCCCCUUCCAUGUCUGGUUUUCCUUCAUGUGAAAGGGAAGGCAACGCUUACUUUAAAAAGUGGAAACUCUCAAAUAAUUUACAUUGUAUUCUAAGUGGUAAAAGGCCACAUUGAGGGUGAUGGAGAAGCCAUUACAUGUCACUUGAGGGAAGUGAGUGUCUCUAGUGAAUCAUUAUGAGUAAACGGAUUUGGUGCUGCAGCAUGAGCAAUACAAAACGUUUAUAUAGUAAUCACCAAAUUGUGUGGAUCCAACCAGAAUAAAAAAAUGCCUGAGCUUUGGCUUAGGGCCAUGGCUGAACGGGAGCAUGAAGCCUGGCACAGAACAGAAGGAAUGAAAGGCAUGGAUGUAGCACAGCGAUAGACAUAAAUAGAUGCAAGUUUAAGCAGAGAUGAAAAUGCGUGGCUGCCGCUUUUUCCCUCUGCACUCACGGCAGGCUCAGAGCUGGAAUUAGAACACUGGCAACCAAACUCUAGAGCCUGUUGUCUAAGCAUUACACUUUGCUUUCUCCAGAUAUACCCAAAUGUUACCCCAGAAUCCUUCUAUCUGCAGAUUAAUUCCCCCUGCAGAUUGUGGGGUUCAGGUUUAUUUUACAGUGCCAUUCAUUUGUUCACCCACUCAUUCAUUUGUCCACGAAUUAAAAACUACUUUUCUGCAUCUGCCAUGUGCCAGGCACAGUUAGGUGCCAGGGAUCCAGUCGUGAAUAAAACAAUCACGGCUUGGGGCUACAGUUAGUGGAAGCAACACUUCUUGUUUAGGACUGUCAGUGGUGGGAGGACCCAGGAUUUGUGUGAUUUGCCACAAAUUUAGUGGUCCCCUUUUCUGCAUUGAACCAGAAAAUCUUCUAAUUGGUGAAGAAAAUCAGCAACAAUCUGAAAAAUAAAAUAUGGCACCCUAUGCUUCACCCUGGACCAGAAAUUGGGCCACCUGCCAUCAUUUUCUGACCAGGCUGAUUUAGCUAUUUGACCUUCGGCCUCAAUUAUAACUCAUGUUCAAACAGUGGUUUCUCAUAGAUUAGUUUACUUUGCUCCUUCCAAUACCUGAUUGGUGAGAGAGGACCAUUUCUGAGGAGGUCUCUGAUGUGUAGAGAGGUUAUAUGACCUGCCUAGUUCCCAUAGCUGGUAGGAGACAAGCUAGGGCUAAAACCCAGUUUUAACUUCUAUCACCUUUUUUUUUUUUUUUUUUUUUGAGACAGUCUCACUUUGUUACCCAGGCUGGAGUGCAGUGGCACGAUCUCAGCUCACUACAACCUCCACCUCCCAGGUUCAAGCAUUCCUCCUGCCUCAGCCUCCUGAGUAGCUGGGACUACAAGUGCGUGCCAUCAUGCUCAGCUAAUUUUUGUAUUUUUAGUAGAGAUGGGGUUUCACCAUGUUGGCCAGGCUGGUCUCAAACUCCUGACCUUAUGAUCCCCUCACCUCUGCCACCCAAAGUGCUGGGAGUACAGACAUGAGCCACCGUGCCCAGCCUAUCACCUUGUUUUUAUUAUCUCAUCAUGUUGUCAUCUUAAUGUUUUUAACUUUUCAGUUUCCCCAUCUUUAAAAUAAGGAAAUUAAACUGUGUGGUUUGUAAAAGUAAGUUCCCUCCCUCCCUUCCCUUCUCUCCCUCCCUCCCUUCCCUCUCUCCCUCCCUCCCUUCCUUUUCUCCCUCCCUCCUGUUCCUGGACCAAACUGAGGGUCAGGCUGCUGUUUCUCACAGCCCAAUAACGAGAUGCAGAUGAACUGGGAAGGAAGAGAGUUUUUAUUUCUGUAACCAGUUACAGGGAGAAGGCCCAGAAAUUAUCACUAGACCAACUCAAAAUUACAAAGUUUUCUAAGCUAUAUGUCUACAUGUAAGUGUGCGUUCAUCUAAAGACAUUAGUGAUUAAUUUCUUUUAAUCUGUAACUAAGGUCUGAGUCCUGAAGACCUUCCUCUAGAGCCUCAGUAAAUUUACUUAAUCUAAAUGGGUCCAGGUGCUGGGGUGAUUACUUAUCUUGUCCCCUGCUAAAUCAUGGAGGUUUGGGGAGUUCCUUUAGGCCCCCAAUAAACCUGUUUGUGGAGGCCUGGGGAGUUUCUUCAGACCCCCAUUAAAACUUGUUUAAUCCUAAAUGGGUCCUGUUAAGAAUUCCUUCGUUAUUUUGUCAUGCUUUAGUGUCCAGGCAAAACUCUUGGUGGGCUUUUGUUGCAUUCCAGACUUUGUAUAAGGGCACUGGCUCAAUCAACUUUUAAUGUUUAACCUAGCUGUCAGUCAGUGCUGGGACAGUUGUGAUGGAAGCCUGCAUAACUGAGACCUAGCCUCCCUCCCUUCCUCCCCUCCCCGCCUCCCUCCCUCCCUUUCUUCCUUCCUUCCAUCCUUCCAUCCAUCCAUCACUGGAGUGCCUACUAUGAUCAAGACAUCAUGCUAGAAGCUGGAAAUAAUGUUACACAAAACACAUGCACACACCCCAUUAAGAAAGUUAAAAAGCCACCCAAAGAAUGGGAGAAAAUAUUUGCAAAUUAUACAUGUGGGACUUGUAUCUAGAAUAUAUACAGAACCCUUACAACUCAAUAAUAAAAAUACAAACAACUCAAUUACAAAAUUGACAAAAAAAUCUGAAUAGACAUUUCUCCAAAGAAGCUAUAUAAAUGGCCAGUAAGCACAUGAAGAGAUACUCAACAUCAUUAGCCAUCAGGGAAAUGCAAAUCAAAACCGUAGUGAGAUACCACUUCACACCUACUAGGAUAACUAUACUCAAAAGAUAGACAUUAACAAGUAUUGGCAAGAUGUGGAGAAACUGGAACCCUCAUACACUGCUGGUGGAAUUGUAAAAUAGUGUGGCCGCUUUGGAAAACAGUCUGGCCAUUCAUCAACUGAUAGCCAUAGAGUUAACAUAUGACACAGAAAUUCCACACUUAGGUAUACGUCUGUGAAAGGAAAAUAGAUCUCAGAACUCCCAAAAUCACUAAGCCAAAGGGAAGUCAAACUGGGAACUGUGUGAGGCAAACCUGCCUCCCAUUUUAUUCCUACGUAAGCUAGCUACAAAGAUAAAAAAGCUACAUACCUCCCUCACAAUUUGCCCACUAGGAAAUUCCUUGUGGACAAAGGACAGACAGAAUUCAGUCAUUCUUUUGCUCAUGUGAGACCAAUGCAUAUCUGAUUGCUUCUUCUGCCCUAUUAUUUCACUAAGCCAGACUAAGGAAUAAGUGACUAUUCCUCUACCCUCCUCUCACAUGUAAAUUGUGUAUUCAGUAAAAGGCUAACCAGAGACAAAAAAAUGCAACAGUUUGUCUUGUAUCUACCUAUGAUCUGGAAGCCCCCACCCCUGCUUCUAGUUGUCCCAGCUCUCCAGACUGAACCAAUGUACAUCUUACAUAUACUGAUUGAUGUCUCAUGUUUCCCUAUAAUGUAUAAAACCAAGCUGUGCCCCGACCACCUUGGGCACAAUGUUGUCAGGACCUUCUGAGGCUGUGUGACAGGCAUGUUCUUAACCUUGGCAAAAUAAACUUCCUAAAUGGAUUCAGGUCUGUCUCAGAUACUUUUGGGUUCACACAUCCAUGAGAAAUGCAAACAUAUGUCCAUACAAAACUUGUACAUGGGUAUUCAUUCAUAGAAGCAUCAAAUAGGCAAAAGGUAGCAACAACCCAAAUGCCCAUCAGCUGAUGAAUGGAUAAAUGAAAUGUGGUAGAUCCUAACGAUGGAAUAUUAUUCAUCCAUAGGAAGGAUGUACUGAUACGCAUUAAAACAUGGAUAUAUCCUGAAAGCUAAGUGAAAGAAGCCAGUCACAAAAGGCCGCUGAUUAUAUGAUUUCAUUUAUAUAAGAUGUCCAGCAUAUAUAUAGACAGAACGUAGAUCAGUGAUUCCCCAGGGGUGAGGGAGGGGAAUGGAGAUUGACUGUUAAUGGUUAUGGGAUCUAUUUUGGGGAUGAUGAAAAUGUUCUGGAAUUGAUUAUGAUGGUUGUACAACUCUGCAAAAUACUAAAAACCAAUGCAUUUUUUACUUUAAAUAGGUAAAUUUUCUGGUGUGUGAGCUAUAUAGCUAUAGCUCAAUAAGGCUAUUAUAUACUUAUUUUAUUUUAUUAUUAUUUUUUAGAGACAGAGUCUCGCUUUGUCACCCAGCCUGGAGUGCAGUUGUGCAAUCUUAGCUCACUGCAACCUCUGCCUCCUGGGUUCAAGUGAUUCUUCUGCCUCAGCCUCCCAAGUAGCUGGGACUACAGGUGUGCGCCACCAUGCCUGGCGAAUUUUUGUAUUUUUGUUAGAGACGGGGUUUCACCAUGUUAGCCAAGUGAAACUUGAACUCCUGACCUCAGGUGAUCUGCCUGCCUCAGCCUCCCAAAGUUCCGAGAUUACAGGUGUGAGUCACCACAUCUCGCCUAUAUACAUAUUUAAAAAACACUAGCAUGGUCUCUAUGCUUAUGGAAAACAGUCUUGUUGGAGAGAUAAUUUUAAUCAAAUAAUUAUACAAAAUUAUCUAACAAUUACAAAUUACGGUGAAGGAAAGAAUCCCAUAUUAUGAAAGAGACUAGCUGGAGGCUGAUGGUGAGGGAGUGGUAGGUAAACAUUCAAGUGCUCUUACAGAGAUCCCCAAGUAACAGUGGCUUAAAUAAGGUAAAUGUUCCAUUCUUGCUGAUCUAUCAGUGCAGGUGUAAGCAGUCUAGGGUGUAUAAGGAAGCCUCACACUUUUGGGGCUCUUCUGGCAUGCUGCUCUGCUGUUCCCUGGGGGGCUGCACUCAUUUGCAUGGUCCACAGUGGCUCUCUACCAUGUCUACAGUCCAAGCCUGAGAAGAGGGAGGGAAACAGUAAAAAACUCUCCACUCCUGCUCAUAUCCAGCACUUUGUCACACCAGGUGAGGAAACAAAGUCAGAUGUCCAUGUGUUCAGAUACCACUUAAGGGUUCUAUUAGUAUAGAAGGAGGAGAGAAUAUAUAUUGGGCAAACAAUCAGCAAUCUCUGCCAUAGAUGGCCUCUCUGAGGAAGUGACAUUGAAAGCAAGAACAUCAGGAUAAGUUGAUGUUAAAGAGAGGAACGAGUUUUCCAGGCCAGAGGGAUGGCAUAUGGAAGGGUCAUGAGGCAGGAAAGGCCAGCUACCAUGUUUAAUGAUGCUUAAUGAUGUGUGUGUCUACCAUACACAUCCCCUACAGAUUAGUUUUUGUUUUGACAGGGUCUCUCUCUGUGGCCCAGACUGGAGUGCAGUGGUGCAAUCAUAGCUCACUGCAACCUCCAAUUCCCAGGCUCAAGCGAUCCUCCCACCACAGGCCAUCAUGCAUGGCUCAUUUUUUAUUUUUAGUAGAGACAAAUUCUCCAUGUUGCCCAGGCUAGUCCUGAACUCCUGGGCUCAAGAGAUCCACCCACAUCAGCCUUCCAGACUGCUGGCCUGGUCUCCUCCAGAUGUUUAUAACUCAUGAGUGCCAGGACUAGACCUGGUACUAGGAAGCAGCUGCAUUGGAUUUACCAGGCUUUUCACUCUUGUAUUUUACAGGGCUGGGACAGGCCUGGACUGCAAGGAGGGGUCUUUGCACCAUCUCUGAAAAGCCGAUGUGUAUCCUCAGCUUUGAGAACUGAAUUCCAUGGGUUGUGUCAGUGUCAGACCUCUGAAAUUCAGUUCUUCAGCUGGGAUAUCUCUGUCAUCGUGGGCUUGAGGACCUGGAGAGAGUAGAUCCUGAAGAACUUUUUCAGUCUGCUGAAGAGCUUGGAAGACUGGAGACAGAAGGCAGAGUCUCAGGCUCUGAAGGCUGGAGUGUAACGGUGCGAUCUCGGCUCACUGCAACCUCUGCCUCCCGAAUUCAAGCAAUUCUCCUGCCUCAGCCUCCUGAGUAGCUAGAACUACAGGCAUGCACCACCAUGCCUGACUAGUUUUUGUAUUUUUAGUGGAGAUGGGGUUUUGCCUUGUUGGCCCGGCUGCUCUGGAACUCUUGACCUCAAGUGAUUCACCUGCCUCAGCCUCCCAAAGUGCUGGGAUUACAGUUGUGAGCCACCACACCUGGCCAUAUUUCCUUAUUUUAAAACUUAUUUUUCUUCUUAUAUAUGUAAUAUGAAUUUAUGGCAAAUAAGUUUGAAAAUAUGGGAAAGUAUAAAAGAGAAAAUUUGAAGUUAUUAAAAUUUUUAAAUUAUGAAAUUAUGAUUUUUUUUACUGGAAAUUUAGAGAAUUCAGAAAAUCAUAGGAGAAAAAAGUUAUCUAUACACUUAUAGAUUACCAUUUUGGGUUAUUUCUUUUCAUUUUCACUUUUUUUUCUUUUACACGAUUGGGAUUAUCUUUAAUUUGUGUAUCUGUGUUCUGUGUUCUGUUGUUUAACAUUUUAUAGUAUGCUUUUCUUCAUGUCCUUGCAUGGUCUUUUUAUUUAUUUUAAAUGGGUGCAUAUGCAGUUCAUGGGCUGGAUGCGCCUUUGUUUACAUGAUCAUUUCCUUAUUAUCAGACAUUCUGAACCUGGGUCUCCUGACUCUAAAUCUGCUGCUAUUUUUUGUCCCCACAUAUCUGUCUCUAUUUCCUUUAGCUUCUUGUUUGCAUUUAUUUGAGAAUUAAUUGUGAUGAUUUUAGGAGUGUAAAAAACAGUAUAAAUAAAUGUGUCUUGUAUUACUACAUAACGGUGCUAGUGUUGAGGAUUUACUAUGUGCCAAUCUCUAUUUCAAUACUUUGAACAGCUUCUCAUUAAAGCCCCCGCCUCCCACAACAACAGUAGAUAGUUAUUAUUCCCAUUAUAUAGAUGAUAUCACAGACAUACACAGAGGGUAAGUAUCAUAGCACAUUCAUUUGUGUCUAGCAAAACUUCAGCUUACAGAGCCAUAUACAAAUAGGCAUUUAUUUGUUCUUAGCCAGUCUGAAUAUGAGCAACUACUACUAGCAUUUGGGUUAGAGUCUCAGUGACAUCAAGGCUGUUGUCACUGCAGAAAUUUUCUCCUGUGCCUCUUGGUUUUAAAGUGGCUGCAAAAGCCAUAGAUAUCACAUCCUGAUUCAGGGGAGGAAGAGAGAGAAACAGAUGGUGUGGACUGGUCACAUCCGCUCCUUUUAUCAAGAAAGCACAUUUUCUUUCCAGAACCCCCUUCAUCUCCCCAGCAGAAUUCCACUCAUGCAUUAUUGUGUUUUUCAUGACCACUGCCAACUCCAGAAGAGACUGGGAAAAUGAAUGUUUUAACUUUUUCAGCCUCUGGAGUGGAAGAGAGGUUUGGGAAUGACUUUUUUCUUUUUCUUUUUUUGACACAGAGUCUCACUCUGUCACCCAGGCUAGAGUGCAGUGGCAUGAUCUUAACUCACUGCAGCCUCCACCUCCUGGGUUCAAGUGACUCUCGUGCCUCAGCCUCCCAAGUAGCUGGGAAUACAGGCAUGUGUCACCAUGGCUGGCUAAUUUUUGUAUUUUUAGUAGAGGCAGGAUUUCACCAUGCUGGUCAGGCUGGUCUUGACUCCUGAUGUCAAGUGAUCCACCUGCCUCUGCCUCCCAAAGUGCUGGGAUUACAGGCUUGAGCCACUGCACCUGGCCUGGGAAUCACUUUUGCUCUGGAUUAAGUUAUGUCCCCCAGAAUUCAUAUGUUGAAGCCCUAACCCCCCAGUGUGACUGUAUCUAGAGAUAGGGUCUAGGAGGUCAUUAUGGUAAAAUGAGGUCAUAAGGGUGGGGCCCUAAGACCCAUAGGACUAUGGCCUUAUAGGAAGAGGAAGAUUCAAUCUCUCUCUCUCUCUCUCUCCUACCCCAUCGCCACCCCCACCCCCCAUGGUGACACAGUGAGAAGGCACCAAACUUGACCAUGUUGGCAUCCUAAUCUCAGACGUCUAGCUUCCAAACUGUGAGAAAACAAAUUUGUUUUUUAAGCCACCCAUUCUAUGGUAUUUUGUUAUGGUAGUACAAGCUGACCAAGACAAAUAGCCACCACAAGAUAUCAGCGCUGGUCAAGUGUUGGUCUUAUUUUUCCUAGCAGCCAAUUUCAUACAGGGGCCAACCAUUGGCUAAGAAUUGGUGUAUAUCACAUCUCUGGCUUGGAUUAUGGUUGGAAGUGGCCCAGUGCCUGUCAAACCUCAUCUCUCACUGAAUAUAACACCAUCUAAUACAUGCCAACAUUUUCAUCAAUAUUACUGUCACCACAAAGUGCCAUUAAAAUAGAAGUGGUUUCAUACAUUAUUUAUCUGCAGCGUGUCUACUGAGUCAUUCUUUUGCUGGAGAGCUGUCUCCUUGGCAUUUAUAAACUUGGUAACAAAUCUGCAGCUCACUGGAUUCCUAUCUUCAGGCUGUGACAGGGAAGAGGAGGCUCCAUGAACUGUUUGGGCUGAAAGUAGUUGCUGUAUCUCUUCCACCAGCCCAGAACACAUUUAUUAAGUGCCUGGUUGCACGUGAUCUGAACGAGGGGCUACACAGUGGACAUUCUGAAAAUGAUUGGCUGUAACCCACUUUCUUUUGGUUAGAGGGGGUUCUAAAAGGAUCCAUUAUUUAUUAGUGAUUUUCAGUUGUGAUUAUUUUUAAAUCAGAAAUUCAAAAUGGCAAUUCUAAUCAGUGGGAAUACAUUAAUGAAUAAAAUAGUCAUUACUGUCUUCAUGGAAUUGACGUUCUAGUAAAGAGGAUAUUUCAUAUAUAAAACUAGAUUUCUGGCUGUUUGAAGUACCAAAAGAACUGACAACUCUGGGCUGCCUUUUUUUCGUGACAACUAUCACCUGGAUCCAGGGAGCCACUUUAUUUAUUUAUUUAUUUAUGUAUUUAUUUAUUUAUUGAGAAGGAUUCUUGCUCUGUUGCCCAGGCUGGAGUGCAGUGGCAUGAUCUCGGCUCACUGCAACCUCCGCUUCCCUGGUUCAAGUGAUUCUCCUGCCUUAGCCUCCC